AUUCUCAGCUUUCACCCCGGACU
rnacentral:siRNA from 1 species